GAUAUGCAAAUGAGAAUCUCAAAAUAUGGGUGAUAGAAAAUGAAAUAAGGGAUUGCGUUGAUGGAAAUGCAACGACAAUGGCGAGUGAGAAUGAGGAUGAUGAGAAAUUUGUAAUCAAUCUAAACAAAGAUGUUAUUAAACGAGUUGAUGGUGGGAACUUAAUGGAGAUGGAUAAAACCUUUCAACAAUUAAAGACACAUCUAAUUGAUAUGGCUUAUGGUGCAAGUAGUAGUAGUUGUGAUCAAAUUUUGGCUAAAUUUG